rnacentral:rRNA from 1 species
ACUCAAAGGAAUAGACGGGGGCCCGCACAAGCGGUGGAGCAUGUGGUUUAAUUCGACGCGACGCGCAGAACCUUACCUGGGCUAGAAAACACAGGAACCUGGGUGAAAACUCGGGGUGCCUUUCGGGGAAUCUGUGGUUAGGUGUUGCAUGGCUGUCGUCAGCUCGUGUCGUGAGAUGUUGGGUUAAGUCCCGCAACGAGCGCAACCCUUGUCGUUAGUUGCCAGCAUUAAGUUGGGAACUCUAACGAGACUGCCGACCUUCAAGUCGGAGGAAGGUGGGGAUGACGUCAAGUCCUCAUGGCCCCUAUGUCCAGGGCUACACACGUGCUACAAUGGUCGGUACAAAGGGCUGCGAAACCGCGAGGUGGAGCCAAUCCCAAAAAACCGGCCUCAGUACGGAUUGGAGUCUGCAACUCGACUCCAUGAAGGCGGAAUCGCUAGUAAUCCCUGAUCAGCAUGGCAGGGGUGAAUACGUUCCCGGGCCUUGCACACACCGCCCGU